ACUCCUANGGNGGNNNCAGUGGGGAAUCUUAGACAAUGGGGGCAACCCUGCAUCUAGCCAUGCCGCGUGAGUGAUGAAGGCCCUAGGGUUGUAAAGCUCUUUCACCGGUGAAGAUAAUGACGGUAACCGGAGAAGAAGCCCCGGCUAACUUCGUGCCAGCAGCCGCGGUAAU
rnacentral:rRNA from 1 species